rnacentral:lncRNA from 1 species
UCUCUGAGUCUUUUGUAAUGAAGGAAGAACUGCUGGCUAGGUAUAUAGGGUUAUCCUCCUUUCAAGAUGUGCUGUGGGAUCGUAAAUAUCCAUCUGGACAGGACACAGAGAGUGCAGACGGGACUUUAGCAUUUACCCUACUAGCAGCACUAGAAAUUCAAUAAGUCAGCAAGUCUCUGAGCCUGGGCUCCAGGUUAGUGAAGCCUAAGUUUACUUCCUAGCCAAGGAGUAAGAGUACUGAGUCAGCUGUACAGCAGUGCAGGGGGAGAUGAGAAUGUCUCAUAAAUUUGUUUUGUAUUUUAGCAUGCCAUUAAUCUACUUAUAAUUAGGGCAAAGCACAGGAUGAAACCCUAAGCAGGCAUUCAGGCUGCUCUUGCUACCUGUGGAUUGCUUCUCCUCCCAGUCAUGCUGGUGUUACAUCAGUGAUUUGCUGGUGUUUCUCUGGUUUACUUUGCUGCAGUGAGGAUAUGAAUCCGGCCCUGAGCUCUAAUAUCUGUUCUAAUUUAAUUCGUGUCUCAGUCUCCACAUGGGAAUUCUCAUCUAGACACGGCCCCUUUUGGGCCGCGUGCUACUUCCAAAUAUAGGACCUUUUCCCAGUAGUGCCAGAUUUGGUGGGAAGACCAACUAGCUCUAGUUCGUUCACAUGACUUGCUCCAUGUUUUAAGGUUUGAUUUAAGAUGUUUCUCUCCUCCUGCCCGCAGCUCCUUUUAAGGAGAUUGUAUGUUUUAUUGUUUUGCUUAUUUUUUUUUUGCACAUAAAAUAUACUGAAACUAAGCACUUUUACACUUGCCAAGACACUGUGCAGAUAUUAAUUCUCCUAACCACAUGGGAGUGAAGAAAAGGCAAAAUGGUCUCAGCAUCAUUCAAGUUGCCUGUCAGCCUUUGAAGAAGAAUUCCCGGAGAGAAGUCAGAGAGGCCGGGUGUCCCAGCACCGGGAGGAUGCCAGGAAGUGCUGCAGUACCUGCCGACCCCUUUGCACAAGGGCAGAGAACACAAGUACAUCAUAUAGCACUAGUACAGAGUUUAAUUUUAUCUUCUGGGGCAGCAACUCUAUCCAUUGCAAAAUUGCUGCUUGUGUGUGUGUGCACAUCGUAGCUUCUUUGUAGUGCUUCCCAACUUCCCAGGUCUAAUGGUGCAUGCUGAACACAUUUGCAAGCUUCCCAUUUUGCUGUCAUCAGGUUUAGAAAUACACUUUCUCAAAAAGAUAUAAGCUGAAUUUCAAAUGACUCCAGACUAUAGCGAUUUAAGAAAAAAAAAUACUAUUAAAUAUUUCCAGGUUUAUAAUAAAAUUAUGUACCAAUAACA